UACGUAGGGGGCAGGCGUUGUCCGGAUUUAUUGGGUUUAAAGGGUGCGUAGGCGGCCUUGUAAGUCAGUGCUGAAAUAUCCCGGCUUAACCGGGAGGGUGGCAUUGAUACUGCAGGGCUUGAGUAAAGUUGAGGUUGGCGGAAUUGACGGUGUAGCGGUGAAAUGCUUAGAUAUCGUCAAGAACACCGAUAGUGAAGACAGCUAACUAAGCUUUAACUGACGCUGAGGCACGAAAGUGUGGGGAUCAAACAGG
rnacentral:rRNA from 1 species